CAAAUCAAACAGGGGAGCUACAAAAGUGGCUGAGAGUAAGGUGUGUGCCUUAGACCCUUAACCUGAUUCGGAUAAUGCCGUCGUAGGGAGCUUUAAGAUAGGAUUU
rfam:Eubacterium sp. CAG:581 genomic scaffold, scf68